rnacentral:rRNA from 1 species
CUCAUACUGGAGGAUAGCCUUUGGAAACGAAGAUUAAUACUCCAUAAUAUCUUAGUAUUUCCUGAUACAUAGAUUAAAGGUUACGGUAUGAGAUGAGCAUGCGUCCUAUUAGCUAGAUGGUGUGGUAACGGCAUACCAUGGCAACGAUAGGUAGGGGCCCUGAGAGGGGGAUCCCCCACACUGGUACUGAGACACGGACCAGACUCCUACGGGAGGCAGCAGUGAGGAAUAUUGGACAAUGGAGGGAACUCUGAUCCAGCCAUGCCGCGUGCAGGAAGACUGCCCUAUGGGUUGUAAACUGCUUUUGUAUGGGAAGAAACACUCCCUCGUGAGGGAAUUUGACGGUACCAUAAGAAUAAGCAUCGGCUAACUCCGUGCCAGCAGCCGCGGUAAUACGGAGGAUGCAAGCGUUAUCCGGAAUCAUUGGG